UAGGGAAUCUUCGGCAAUGGGGGCAACCCUGACCGAGCAACGCCGCGUGAGUGAAGAAGGUUUUCGGAUCGUAAAGCUCUGUUGUAAGUCAAGAACGGGUGUGAGAGUGGAAAGUUCACACUGUGACGGUAGCUUACCAGAAAGGGACGGCUAACUACGUGCCAGCAGCCGCGGUAAUAUGUAGGUCCCGAUCGUUGUCCGGAUUUAUUGGGCGUAAAGCGAGCGCAGGCGGUUUGAUAAGUCUGAAGUUAAAGGCUGUGGCUCAACCAUA
rnacentral:rRNA from 1 species